GCCACAUAUGUACUAAAUAACACUGCCCCUUAGCUAUGACUGAGUGAUUCAGGAAUGGGUACUUGGCCUCUGCCAAGCCAGUUUGAAUCCUUCCCUAGUAUCCUUCUAACUGGAGACUAAAAAAAUAAGCUUUGUAGUCUGAGGGAAAAAGACAUUACUAAACGGGACAUUCAGCAACUGUAGGGUGCCCUACUUACUGCCAUGUGCAAGAAGUCAUCCACUUUGAGAAGAAACCAAGUCUACGCAUGAGAAACAGAGGCAAGAGACUGUGGGAGUCCAAGAAGUGCUUUGUUCCAAUUCCUCUCAACUUUCAGCUGCACCUUUGUCCUUGGUCAUUUGAUUGUUAAGUCCUUUAGUAAUAACACCACGCAACCCUCCCACUGUGUUUGUCUUCCUAACUUCGCAUUCGCUGAUGUCUUAUUGGCAGCUUGAAAUUCUGGUGGGAUUGGCACACGGCAUAAAUCAGAAAUGGAAAUACCAUGACCAUGUUGGAAUGACAGUCAAUCAUCGACUGCAACCAUUGGCUGUCUCUUGAGUAUAAAAGUUCAUCCAAACCAAGGAAAGCAUUCUGUGAGAACCAGUUGCUCAUAUGUAAUUGACAAGAGAGACUACUGUUGGUCCCCAAAGACCAUACGUUGUUGGAUUUCAUUUAGGUGAAAUGUCCAGACUACUCCAAGCCCCCAGAGACACUAAGUGGAUGGCCUGAAUAAAGCUCUUCAGUUCAGGGGUGUUUUUAGGACCGAGCUGUGCAACCAUCACCAGGAUUUAAUUUUAGAACAUUUUUAAUGCCUCCAGAAGCAAUCCUAUGUGUAUUAACAGUUAUUUUCCACUCCCUCCAACCUAGCCCCAGAC